AGUGAACGCUGGCGGUAGGCCUAACACAUGCAAGUCGAACGGCAGCACAGGAGAGCUUGCUCUCUGGGUGGCGAGUGGCGGACGGGUGAGGAAUACAUCGGAAUCUACCUUUUCGUGGGGGAUAACGUAGGGAAACUUACGCUAAUACCGCAUCCGACCUACGGGUGAAAGUGGGGGACCGCAAGGGCUCACGCGGUUAGAUGAGCCGCUGUCGGAUUAGCUAGGUGGCGGGGGAAGGGCCCACCAAGGCGACGUUCGGUAGCUGGUCUGAGAGGAUGAUCAGCCACACUGGAACUGAGACACGGUCCAGACUCCUACGGGAGGCAGCAGUGGGGAAUAUUGGACAAUGGGCGCAAGCCUGAUCCAGCCAUACCGCGUGGGUGAAGAAGGCCUUCGGGUUGUAAAGCCCUUUUGUUGGGAAAGAAAUCCUGUCGAUUAAUACUCGGUGGGGAUGACGGUACCCAAAGAAUAAGCACCGGCUAACUUCGUGCCAGCAGCCGCCGUAA
rnacentral:rRNA from 1 species